AUACGGAGGGUGCAAGCGUUACUCGGAAUCACUGGGCGUAAAGCGCGCGCAGGCGGGCUGAUAAGUUGGAUGUGAAAGCCUACGGCUCAACCGUAGAACUGCAUCCAAAACUGUCAGUCUAGAGUGUGCGAGAGGAAGAUGGAAUUAGUUGUGUAGGGGUAAAAUCCGUAGAGAUAACUAGGAAUACCAAAAGCGAAGGCAAUCUUCUGGAACACUACUGACGCUGAGGCGCGAAGGCGUGGGGAGCAAACAGAAUUAGAAACCCCUGUAGUCC
rnacentral:rRNA from 1 species